CGUCUUUCCCGGUCUGUUCCUGCAUUUUUCCCGGUCUGUUUCUGCUAUUUGACCCAUUCUGUUUCUGUGCUUUUCCCCCUGGCGCCAGUAUUUGGAUUACCUGUUUUUGCUACAUCUCGUGGACACCUUCAGUUGUAUUUUGAUCUUGUUUAUCAGAAAUGUUCAGAUUAAAGCACCCUGUUGAAUCAGUCGUGGUUUGUUCUGCCUUCCUAGUCAGUGCAGACUCAGGGGAUUCUUCAAUCCAUCAACUCAGCAAGUCAUCAACCACCAUCACCACCAGUGUCUGGACUCCUGGGCAUUUACUUUGCUGUCGCUCGGGACUGAUGCCCUCUGCUACAUAUCUCCCAAUGGAGUCUAAGUGCCAAUAACCCAACAAAUAAUUUUUCAUCACAUAUCAUCCUGUUAAACCUGUAAAAAAAAAACAAAAAAAAAACAUUCACUUGUCUCUCCUGAUUGAACUAUUUUUGUGCAUUAUUUUUUUUUUUUAAAUUUAUGUGUUAAUGUUCUAAGAAUUUCCAUUUGCUGAUGUAUCGUCAAGCUAUAACUAUUGUUCAAGGUAUUCUCUUGAUUCAACAGCGGGACAGAAAAGCACUCACGAAGGAUACUGUAGCAGACAAAUGUUUGUUUUCUUCCACAGGAAAUUAAGUUCCAUUUUCCGACUUCUGCAAAUCUGCAACACCACAUACUAAAUAAUUGUUGGCCAGUUGCGGAAUGAGCAGCCACUCCCGUCGGACCAGUAAAUGUGAGGAUCUCUGAACAAACCGAUCAAUGCCCAUUGAUUAUGUUGCACAAAGUUCUGAAAUACUGCCUCUCUCACUUCUUGUCAACAUUGCUGAAGAUGCAUUUGUUGUUUGAAUAAACUUUAUUCAGUCA